GUGCCAGCAGCCGCGGUAAUACGUAGGGUGCAAGCGUUAAUCGGAAUUACUGGGCGUAAAGCGUGCGCAGGCGGUUUUGUAAGACAGGCGUGAAAUCCCCGGGCUCAACCUGGGAAUGGCGCUUGUGACUGCAAAGCUGGAGUGCGGCAGAGGGGGAUGGAAUUCCGCGUGUAGCAGUGAAAUGCGUAGAUAUGCGGAGGAACACCAAUGGCGAAGGCAAUCCCCUGGGCCUGCACUGACGCUCAUGCACGAAAGCCAGGGUCUCCAACCGGAUUAGAAACCCCAGUAGUCC
rnacentral:rRNA from 1 species